AUAUAAGAUGAUAAAGUUUUCGCCUAAACUCGAUGUAUUACAUGAGAAUAGAAAAAACAAUUACACCAAGAUCUACGCUGACU